CCCUUAGAUGUUCUGGGCCGCACGCGCGCUACACUGAGCCCUUCAUCGAGUUUACAACCUUGGCCGGUAGGUCUGGGUAAUCUUCUCAAAGGGGCUCGUGCUGGGGAUAGAUUAUUGUAAUUUUUAAUCUUCAACGAGGAAUUCCUAGUAAAAGCAAGUCAACAGCUUGCAUUGAUUACGUCCCUGCCCUUUGUACACACCGCCCGUCGCUACUACCGAUUGAAUGGCUUAGUGAGCCCGAGGGACUGUUGCACCUAGAGGGUUUUCUCUCCAGGAGCAGCCGGGAACUCGGUCAAACUUGAUCAUUUAGAGGAAGUAAAAGUCGUAACA
rnacentral:rRNA from 1 species